UUAUCAAAAACAUGUCCUUUAGUUUUUAUUUAAGGUUUAACCUGCCCAAUGAUUUAUUGAAUGGCCGCGGUAUUUUAACUGUGCUAAGGUAGCAUAAUCAAUUGUCUUUUAAUUAAGGGCUAGAAUGAAUGGUUGGACGAGAUAACUGCUUUCUUUAUUUUAAUUUGUGAAUUUAAUUUUUCAGUCAAAAAGCUGAAAUAUUUUUGUAGGACGAGAAGACCCUAUAGAUCUUAAUAAAGCUUGCUUUAAUUUUUUAUAGUUAAUGAUUUAAUUUUAUAGUUUGUAUUAUUUUGUUGGGGUGACAAUAGAAUUUAAAUAACUUCUGUUUUAAAAAUUUCAUUAAUAUAUGAUUAUUUGAUCCUUUUUUAAAGAUUAUAAGAUUAAGUUACCUUAGGGAUAACAGCGUAAUUUUAUUAGAGAGCUCAUAUCGAUAAUGAAGUUUGCGACCUCGAUGUUGGAUUAAAAAAAGUAAUGGGUGUAGAAGUUCAUUUACUAGGUCUGUUCGACCUUUAAUUUUUUACAUGAUCUGAGUU
rnacentral:rRNA from 1 species